UGAUGUUAUUAAAGGUUCCUGUUCUUCAAUGACGUCUUUGGAAAGUUUAACGUUUGAACCCGGCCUUGUUAAUGCAUCCUUUAUGCACUCUGUUACUUAUGGCUAAUAACGUUGUUGGUUUUAAUAAAUGUGGUUUCAAUUUCAGUGCAUGUUAGUUAGAAAUCCUUACGAAUUUUGUCUCUGGUUUUCGUGACGUAUGUGUGAACAUUCUUACAAUAAUAACAUGCGUUGAAUUCAGUUUUGAUGUUUUGAUGCAUGUCGAAGAUUAAAUGAACUAGACACAACUAGACUAUCAGUUAAAAA